AACUUUCCAACAACGGAUCUCUUGGUUCUG
rnacentral:rRNA from 1 species